AUGACUUCAGCAUGGACAUUGGUAAUAUUUUGCAGAGGUGAAAUAAUGUGUUUUACGAAUUGUUGCAGGUUCGGAUUGAUUCGUUUUUGUAGAGGUGAAGCCUUUUGGUACUCUCUUUUCUUCCUCUUGAUCGAUUCUUCUAUUUUUGUGGUUCUUGCAUUGUUCUAUUAUUUUGUUGUUGUGUCUAUUUCUGCGAGUGUGUUAUGUGCUUCGUUAUUAUGA